UUUAGAUUAAGCCAUGCAUGUGUAAGUAUAACUAAUCGACUUUGAAACUGCGAAUGGCUCAUUAUAUCAGUUAUAGUUUAUUUGGUGAAGGAUACUAAUUGGAUAACCGUAGUAAUUCUAGGGCUAAUACAUGAGUAAAGUCCCAUUGGGAUGUGUUUAUUAGAAUGAAAACCAUAUGCUUCGGCAUGAUAGUGAGUAAUAGUAACCUAUCGUAUCGCAUGCUUAAAGUAGCGAUGAGUCUUUCAAGUUUCUGCCCUAUCAGCUUUCGAUGGUAGCAUAUGGGUCUACCAUG
rnacentral:rRNA from 1 species